rnacentral:rRNA from 1 species
CGGUAGAGUAUGUGGUUUAAUUCGAUGCAACGCGAAGAACCUUACCUGGCCUUGACAUCCCGGGAAUUUCCUGGAAACAGGAGAGUGCUUUCAUUAGAGAGAACCUGGAGACAGGUGCUGCAUGGCUGUCGUCAGCUCGUGUCGUGAGAUGUUGGGUUAAGUCCCGCAACGAGCGCAACCCUGUCCUUAGUUGCUAACAGUUCGGCUGAGCACUCUAGGGAGACUGCCUUCGCAAGGAGGAGGAAGGUGAGGACGACGUCAAGUCAUCAUGGCCCUUACGGCCAGGGCUACACACGUGCUACAAUGGGGCGUACAGAGAGCUGCGAUACCGCGAGGUGGAGCCAAUCUCUUAAAGCGUCUCUCAGUUCGGAUUGUUCUCUGCAACUCGAGAACAUGAAGCUGGAAUCACUAGUAAUCGCAGAUCAGCUAUGCUGCGGUGAAUACGUUCCCGGGUCUU